GGUUUCAACUUUUUGAAAGACAUGGGUAGUGAGAUGUUGGUUCACGUGUCAUUUUUACCUCUCACUACCUUGUCUUUCAUGAAGAAGUAACCGU